rnacentral:rRNA from 1 species
GGCCUUUGAUUCUAUUGCAGCGCUUAUUGCGCGGCGAUAAACCUUACACACAUUGUCUAGUUUUUUUGAACUUUGCUUUGGGUGCAUCAGCCUAGCUGCGUGCCCAAAGGUCUAAACACAUUUUUUUUAAUGUUAAAACCUUUAACCAAUAGUCAUGAAAAUUUUUAACAAAAAUUAAAAUCUUCAAAACUUUCAACAACGGAUCUCUUGGUUCUCGCAACGAUGAAGAACGCAGCGAAAUGCGAUACGUAUUGUGAAUUGCAGAUUUUCGUGAAUCAUCGAAUCUUUGAACGCACAUUGCACCCUCUGGUAUUCCAGAGGGUAUGCCUGUUUGAGCGUCAUUUCUCUCUCAAACCUUCGGGUUUGGUAUUGAGUGAUACUCUGUCAAGGGUUAACUUGAAAUAUUGACUUAGCAAGAGUGUACUAAUAAGCAGUCUUUCUGAAAUAAUGUAUUAGGUUCUUCCAACUCGUUAUAUCAGCUAGGCAGGUUUAGAAGUAUUUUAGGCUCGGCUUAACAACAAUAAACUAAAAGUUUGACCUCAAAUCAGGUAGGACUACCCGCUGAACUUAAGCAUAUCAUGGCCGGGGGGAAGAAAAAAGAUCCAUUAUAGUAUUCUAUUGCCAGCGCUUAAUUGCGCGGCGAUAAACCUUACACACAUUGUCUAGUUUUUUUGAACUUUGCUUUGGGUGCAUCAGCCUAGCUCGUGCCAAAGGUCUAAACACAUUUUUUUUUAUGGUUAAAACCUUUAACAAUAGUCAUGAAAAUUUUUAACAAAAAUUAAAAUCUUCAAACUUUCACAACGGACUCUGGUUCUCGCACGAUAAAGAACGCACGCAAUGCGAUACGUAUUGUGAAUUGCAGAUGUUCGUGAAUCAUCGAACUUUGAACGCCAUGCACCUCUGGUAUUCCGAGGGGUAUGGCUGUUUGGAGCGUCA